rnacentral:rRNA from 1 species
UACGUAGGGUGCAAGCGUUAAUCGGAAUUACUGGGCGUAAAGCGUGCGCAGGCGGUGAUGUAAGUCAGGUGUGAAAUCCCCGGGCUUAACCUGGGAACUGCAUUUGUGACUGCAUCGCUGGAGUGCGGCAGAGGGGGAUGGAAUUCCGCGUGUAGCAGUGAAAUGCGUAGAUAUCAGGAGGAAUACCGACGGCGAAGGCAGGUCUCUGGGCUGACACUGACGCUCAUGCACGAAAGCGUGGGGAGCAAACAGG